rnacentral:lncRNA from 1 species
CCAUUUUUUACAUUAGGAAAUUCAUAUACCGAUUCAAGAAUAUGACAGUUAUUUUUGUCUUUAUGACUUUUUGUGUUCAGAUACAAAUGACGUGACAUUGUACUUAUACAUCCCGCCAUUGUGUUAUUUUUCUAUGAUAAGUUUUGUGUUCUUGUCUUUCAUUUUACUAAUGAGUUUUGUAUGCCCCUAUGGUGUUUCUAUGCUCUGUUUUAGAAGAAAUUCACAAUAAACAUAUAGACAAGUGGCAAAUAGAACAAGGUAAACUUCUGCAGAGGAUAUGCCUAAAAGAACAAUAGACUGUAUUAUGUUAAUACUUUAAACGAGAAAUUAUUUUACAUCUACAUGUGUGACGUUUAUAUGCUGAUCAACUGGUGUACGUCAAACGCGUGAUAAGAGCUUCGUCAUGUUAAUGUUUACAUAACCAUGUGCCUGUCCGGGAAAGGAUUCGGUCACAGUGCUUAAUUUCGUAUAAUAAAAAAAGCAAUGAAUGAGAUUGUUAAAUUUGAUAUACGCCUUUUUGUGCUUCCUUGCUAAACAUUGGUU